UCUGAUGUUCCAUCCAUACAAAUAUAAUCUUAUUCUAGUUCUGUGGUUCCAUUAUCCAGGCACAAGAUAGAAAGUUGCCUGAAGGCUUGUGUAUCAUUAAAUUGCCUUUAUCUGAGAAAGCAAACCAUGGAUAACGCUCCUCGAGUAAGCCAUGAACGGGUAGACAUCCCCAUGAUUGUAUAGUAUCAUUCCGUGGUGGACCCAUAUUAGGCUCCUUGAGGACAUCCCUGUGGCACCUGAAAUUUAGGGGAUCCUCCAGACAGACAGCAUCCCUGCACAGAAACAGGGCCUUUCCAGAGGGAGGGGAUCCCCACCACAGGGACCUUCCAGAGGGAGGAUCCCCACCACAGGGAUCUUCCAGAGGGAGGGGAUCCCCACCACAGGGACCUUCCAGAGGGAGGAGAUCCCCACCACAGGGACCUUCCAG